rnacentral:rRNA from 1 species
AUAUCAAUAAGCGGAGGAAAAGAAACUAACGAGGAUUCCCCUAGUAACUGCGAGUGAAGCGGGAAAAGCUCAAAUUUAAAAUCUGGCGGUCCUUGGCCGUCCGAGUUGUAAUUUAGAGAAGCGUCUUCCGCGCCGAACCGUGCACAAGUCUCCUGGAAUGGAGCGUCAUAGAGGGUGAGAAUCCCGUCUUUGGCACGGAAUCCCUGGUGCUUCUGUGAUGCGCUCUCGAAGAGUCGAGUUGUUUGGGAAUGCAGCUCAAAAUGGGUGGUGAACUCCAUCUAAAGCUAAAUAUUGGCGAGAGACCGAUAGCGAACAAGUACCGUGAGGGAAAGAUGAAAAGCACUUUGGAAAGAGAGUGAAACAGUACGUGAAAUUGUUGAAAGGGAAACGCUUGAAGUCAGUCGCGUCGACCGAGACUCAGCCUUGCCUCGGCUUGGUGUACUUCUCGGCUGACGGGUCAGCAUCAAUUUCGCCCCUUGGAUAAUGGCGAGGGAAAUGUGACACCUUUGCGGUGUGUUAUAGUCUCUCGUCGCAUGCAAGGGUUGGGAUUGAGGAACUCAGCACGCGCCUUUGGGUGUCGGGGCUUUGCCCACGAUACGUGCUUAGGAUGUUGGCGUAAUGGCUUUAAACGA